GGCCCGUUCUUCUAACGGCUUAGGAUACGAGACCCUCAUUCUCGUGCUUGUGGGUUCGAUUCCCGUACGGGCUG
rnacentral:tRNA from 1 species